UACGGAGGAUCCGAGCGUUAUCCGGAAUUAUUGGGUUUAAAGGGUGCGUAGGCGGCCAUUUAAGUCAGCGGUGAAAUUUUGCAGCUAAACUGUAAAAGUGCCUUCGAAACUGGUUUCCUUGAGUGUAGAUGAAGUAGGCGGAAUUUGUGGUGUAGCGGUGAAAUGCAUAGAUAUCACGAGGAACUCCGAUUGCGCAGGCAGCUUACUAAACUACUACUGACGCUCAGGCACGAAGGCGUGGGGAUCAAACAGGAUUAGAUACCCCUGUAGU
rnacentral:rRNA from 1 species